rnacentral:lncRNA from 1 species
AAUUCCAUUUGAUCCCAUUCGAUUCCAUUCCAUUCUACUCCACUCCAUUCCACCCCAUUCCAUUCCACUCCAUUCCAUUCCACUCCAUUCCAUUCCAUUCCACUCCAUUCCAUUCCACUCCAUUCCAUUCCAUUCCAGUCCACUCCAUUCCAUUCCAUUCCAUUUCAUUCCAUUCCAUUCUAAAUCCGUUCCAUUCCAUUCCAUUCUAAAUCCAUUCCAUUAUAUUCCAUUCUAAAUCCAUUCCAUUCCCUUCCUUUCUUUCAACAGGAUCUCACUCUGUCACCCAGGCUGGAGUGCAGUGCGCAAUCUCAGCUCACAUUUCAUUUUGCCAUUCCAUUCGAUUCCAUUCCAUUGCAUUUCAUUCCACUCCACUCCACUCCGUUCAAUUCCAUUCCUUCCCAUUCCAUUCCACUCCACUCCAUUCCACUCGACUCCACUCCACUCCACUCCAUUCCAUUACAUUCCAUUUUAAAUCCAUUCAAUUUCAUUCCUUUCUUUUUACAGGAUCUCACUAGUUCGCCCAGGCUUCACUGCACUGCACAAUCUCAGCUCACAUUUCAUUUCACCAUUCCAUUCCAUUGCAUUCCAUUGCAUUCCAUUCCACUCCUCUCCACUCCGUUCAAUUCCAUUCCUUCCCAUUCCAUUCCAUUUGAUUCCAUUCCACUCCACUCCACUCCGUUGAAUUCCAUUCCACCCCAUUCCAUUCCACUCCAUUCC